rnacentral:rRNA from 1 species
CCUACGGGAGGCAGCAGUGAGGAAUAUUGGUCAAUGGACGAGAGUCUGAACCAGCCAAGUAGCGUGAAGGAUGACUGCCCUAUGGGUUGUAAACUUCUUUUAUAAAGGAAUAAAACGAGGCACGUGUGCCUUGUGGCAUGUACUUUAUGAAUAAGGAUCGGCUAACUCCGUGCCAGAAGCCGCGGUAAUACGGGGGAUACGAGCGUUAUCCGGGUUUAUUGGGGUUAAAGGGAGCGUAGAUGGGUUGUUAAGGCAGUUGUGAAAGUUUGCGGCUCAAACGUAAAAUUGCAAUUGAUACUGGCAGUCUUGAGUAGAGUUGAGGUAAGCGGAAUUCGUGGUGUAGCGGUGAAAUG